AUGCUGGCUUCCGAUUCCAUCCCCGCCUUCAUCAUUCUGAUCUUCGUAUUCUCUUCGCGCUUCCGUCGGUCUCCUCGCUUUGCUCCGAUUCCUUUUCCGAUGAUCUCUGCUCAACCUUCGCGAAUUAUUAAGGACGAAGCCGCCAUCUUCAUCUCUGUUCAAGCUCCAGCUUCAUAUGACUCAUCUUUUCCGAUGCAACUAGAUGUAGCCUCAUUACACUGA